CCUCCCAUUUCCUCAAAUCCUUGUUUUCUUUCAUAAUUGUGUGUUUCUUUAUGUCUGCAUAUUGGUCAAACUCAAAGCACAGCCUUGCUUUCUAUAUGACGAAAUGUGUGGGACCCAAAUCAACCAUAGGCAAUUUUUAAAUAAACGACUACUUUGGAGACUCAAGUCAGUUCGAUCAUUAGAACUUUUUUGUUUGCUAAAAAUAUUGGCUGGAAGGAAAGUUUGGUGAACACCAUGUUUUGUUGAACUUGCUUGACUUACGUCCAAAUAGCUUUUCACUUGAGGGUUGGUAACAGUGAAGUCAAGUUUUGAGAUUUUCGUUGUUUGUUUUAGACCUCUUUUAUAUUUAGAUCGCAUGGUGUCAGAAUUGGUCAAGCUAACUAUAAAAGGAGUUUGAUUUUUGUGGUUUGUAUGUCUCUACUUAUGCAUCCAAAAAAAAAGAGAUCUAAAAGCCAUACCUUUAAUUAUAUUCAUUUUUAGAUCUAUACGCAAUCCAUCUUGGAAGGUUGUUUGAGCAUCUGACUAUCAGACAUUAUUCAUUGUUUAUAGUGUGUGCAAUUAAAAUACCUAUUUUAGGACUAAGAUGCAAUGUGUAGAACAAGAUGGGAUUACCUAUUGGUAACCAUAUCUAUAGAUAUAAUGAAUCCUGAGUUUUACUGUGGCCGACGUGUCGGCUCCUCAGCGUCUCCCUCUCUACCAUUCCCUCUCGUGCCCCUUCGAAGCAUCCUCGCGUUUGGCGGGGGGCUUCAGUGGCCCCCACUAUUUUUUUUUCCCAGCGCGGGCGAGCGUAGUGGGUGGCAGCGGCGGGCACGGGCGCGGGUCGCGCGCAACCCUCGCAAAUCCCGCAGGAUGCGGAGAGUUGUCGCUCCCCCCGUACGUGCGGGCGCACGGCGUGGGCUUACAUGUCGUCCGUCCCGUGUCUUUCGUUCCCUCUCGCGCGCCUUCGAUCCCUACCCUCUCUCACCCGCGAUUCCCGCGCCCCUCUGCCCGCCUCUUUCCUUUGUCGCCCUUUCUGUCCCCUGUGGUUCCGCACAGCCUGCAGGGCUCGGAGAGUUGUCGCAGUAUGCCAUCCCCCCACCACCACCCACCCGUUCCUGCGAUCGCAGAUCCUGCAUUCCCGCGCCCUUCUGCCCGUCUCUUUCCUUUGUCGCCCUUCCUAUCCCCUGUGGUUCCGCAAAGCCCGUAGGGCUCGGAGAGUUGUCGCAGUAUGCCAUCUCCCCACCACUACCCAUCCGUUCCUGCGAUCGCAGAUCCCGCAGGGCAUGGAGGGUUGUCGCCCUGUGGAUCUGUAGAUCCUGCAGAUCUCUCUCUCCCCGAUCCUGCCUCUCAUCUUUCUCCGAUCUGCGAGGAUCUUCCCCAUCACGCGAUUGAUCGGAGCUCACAGGCCCCCGCGCCCUCUCCCUGGCCCUCGCGCCCUGUUCGACGAAAUGCCGAGCCGAUCGCAGGGCGCUCCGCGGGCAUCGGAGAGGGAUCGAUCGAUCGAUUGCGGAAGCUUCGAGGUAUUACACGCUUAGAUCUAAUCCCUUUUUGUCGUCUCUCCUUUUUAUUCGGUCUAAAUCGCGCGAUAAUUGUGGUACAAUCGCGCAAUCGCGAUCUCUGCGUGUGUUUAAAUCCUCCCCAAGUUGAAAUUUGGAUGCAAAUUUGGAUCUGUGAAUCGGAUUGGGGAGGUUUCGUUGCUGUUUUACUUUUGGAACAGCUGAAUUGUGGGGAUUCCUAUACAUGUUGCGAUCUCUGAAUUUGAUUGUUAUUUUACUUUUGUAAGAGUUGAGUUGUUGCUUUGUUCGUUGAUUGCAGCCGAAAUUUGUUUGGCGAUUCUUCUGAUGUUGGAUUUGUUAUUUUGCUCAUUGUAGAAUAGUAGGAUCACUGAUUAGUGGAAUAAUCCUUAGUGGAAAUUUUCCUUUUUACUCUGAUUUUGCUCUUGCUAGAAACAAAUUUUGGAUGUUGAUGUUUGGCUGUCAGGUAGUUCUAACACUUUCCAUGCUCUCUGAGCCUUCUCACUUUUGAGUUAGUGAACCCAAACGGUACAUGCCGUACGAUCCCAUCGGCGGCGGCUAAGAAGCAGCUCCUCUAUUGCGCGGAGAGGGUCUCAAAAUCCAUCCCCGUCCACGCGUGUCGGUAUGUAUCAAAACAUGUGAGAUUAAAAGAAAGUGAGCUAUUUUAUAGAAAUAUAAAAUGGCUACUCUAUACUUUCUGAAUAGGCAUAAAAGAUCAUUUUGACACCUAUGAGGUUGCGAUUAAGUGAGCUAUUUUAUAAAGUAGGCAUUUGGUAAAGUAACUCACUUAAUCGCUACUUUAAAAUAGCUAUUUUGAAUCCUUUCUAUAAAGUAGCCUAAGAGUAGCGCAAUCCUUUCUAUACUUUCUUUUACUAAUUCGGAUAUUCUAUCAUCAAAAGGUGUUUGACAGUAGCUAUUUUAUGUGGAGUAUUAGUUGAUUUUCUUUUCACAUUAUUUUUUGUUUAUUAUACUCAUUCAUGUAUACUAUUUGGUGUGAUUUUCACAAGCUGAUUUAAUAUAGAGCUUUUCAUCUUUCUUGCAAGCAUCCAUUUUAUACUGCAGUGGGGAGUUUGGGUGCUCUACUCAUUAUACUUAAGCUCAGCAAGUAAUGAUUUAGAUAGCUGCUUAAUGUUUUACUUGCUUAGGUUCAACAUGUGAUGAUUUGGAUUGUUAGUUAAUGUUUGAGAGGUUAAAAAAACAUCUGUUUUCAACUGAAUUGGUUCCUUUUUUUGUACCCAAAUCGUCCAAACAUGUAUAUUAUGGCUUUUGAUUUAUACAUUUUUUUUUUCCGUAGAAAGAACUUGAAUUUAUUUUCGAUACCAGUUAAGUUUUAUCUUAUUUCCUGCGCCAAUUUCAUUUUCGGGUAUCAGAUUGAGUUUUUUAUGUGUUUUGUAUGAAUUCUUCAGCUGUUUGGUAAAAAAAAAAAAUCCUCAUUGAAUUUUUUUUUUCUUAAGAUUUUUUGUGGGAUUUUGAUUAAUUUCGAUGGUAUCAAUUAGCUCAUUUUUCUAAGAUUGCAUAGUAAGUGGAUGCCUCCUCUAUCAGCUCUUGACUGCUUUCCAUACAAAUCAGUUUCCUUUGAAAUGCAUUUAAGCUAACCAAAUUAACUAUAUUAUAUAGAUGCUAUUGCUUGAUGUUUGCGGAUUCUUUCACUAUGUGUUGGAAAGAUUAAAAUUGUGGAAGCUUGGUGCUGGGAAGUGCAUUACACUCGGGCGCUUAUUGACGGGACCAAGUUCGACUCAACCCGGAAUUGUGGGACGCCGUGGGACGCCCUCAAAUUUUAAGCUUGGUGAAGGUUGACUGGUCUUAUGGCAAUCUCUGCAGCUUGCGAAAGCUGCCAAAUAUUUGGACCUUUUUUGCAAUGGAUUGCUACUGAAUUAUGGUGAAUGUACAGAUUCAAGAAGCCAAGCUGAGCCAAUUUUUCCACGCCUAUAUUUUUGUUAUUUUUUCCAAUUUCGUUUUGCAAUUUUUUUCACUGCUAUUUGUUUGAUCUCUUUGAUUUUCUUCAUCAAAGUUGUAGCUACUGUCAAAGACAAAUUGGUGCAAUACAAUAGUGGGCCUCACAAAGAAGCUGUAGAGCCCUCCCAUUAAGUGGUGCGGUUGGCUCCACAGGCGUAUGCAAAAGUGCUGGUGGUUUGGUUUUUGAAAAUGGAUUGGAGUAGGAUUAUGAGCAAGUAUGCUUUUUAUGUUGAA